rnacentral:rRNA from 1 species
GAUGAACGCUGGCGGCGUGCCUAGUACAUGCAAGUCGAGCGAACAGACGAGGAGCUUGCUCCUCUGACGUUAGCGGCGGACGGGUGAGUAACACGUGGAUAACCUACCUAUAAGACUGGGAUAACUUCGGGAAACCGGAGCUAAUACCGGAUAAUAUAUUGAACCGCAUGGUUCAAUAGUGAAAGACGGUUUUGCUGUCACUUAUAGAUGGAUCCGCGCCGCAUUAGCUAGUUGGUAAGGUAACGGCUUACCAAGGCGACGAGGCGUAGCCGACCUGAGAGGGUGAUCGGCCACACUGGAACUGAGACACGGUCCAGACUCCUACGGGAGGCAGCAGUAGGGAAUCUUCCGCAAUGGGCGAAAGCCUGACGGAGCAACGCCGCGUGAGUGAUGAAGGUCUUCGGAUCGUAAAACUCUGUUAUUAGGGAAGAACAAAUGUGUAAGUAACUAUGCACGUCUUGACGGUACCUAAUCAGAAAGCCACGGCUAACUACGUG